GUCGGGAUCAUGCAUAUUCUGGCUGGCUCUUUCAGAUUGUCACAUUCCAUCCAUAUUUGAACCAUUCCCGUCCAUAUCUAUCUGUGGUACAGGUUUGUGCAGCAUGAAGUAUUUAAGAUCUUGUUAUUUAAUGACUUUUAAUGUUUUUCCAUCAUAUAUAUUAUACAUUGUUCAAGAAUGUUUUGUUUUAUGCAAUUCUAAUUGAAUAUGAAAAUUAAUAAAUAUGAAAAGAGAAA